UAGGGAAUCUUCGGCAAUGGGGGGAACCCUGACCGAGCAACGCCGCGUGAGUGAAGAAGGUUUUCGGAUCGUAAAGCUCUGUUGUUAAGGAAGAACGAGUGUGAGAAUGGAAAGUUCAUGCUGUGACGGUACUUAACCAGAAAGGGACGGCUAACUACGUGCCAGCAGCCGCGGUAAUACGUAGGUCCCGAGCGUUGUCCGGAUUUAUUGGGCGUAAAGCGAGCGCAGGCGGUUAGAAAAGUCUGAAGUGAAAGGCAGUGGCUCAACCAUUGUAGGCUUUGGAAACUGUUUAACUUGGGUGCAGAAGGGGAGAGUGGAAUUCCAUGUGUAACGGUGAAAUGCGUAGAUAUAUGGAGGAACACCAGUGGCGAAGGCGACUCUCUGGUCUGUAACUGACGCUGAGGCUCGAAAGCGUGGGGAGCGAACAGG
rnacentral:rRNA from 1 species